rnacentral:rRNA from 1 species
GACGAACGCUGGCGGCGUGCUUAACACAUGCAAGUCGAACGGUAAGGCCCUUCGGGGUACACGAGUGGCGAACGGGUGGGUAACACGUGGGUGAUCUGCCCUGCACUUCGGGAUAAGCCUGGGAAACUGGGUCUAAUACCGGAUAGGACCACUGCCUGCAUGGGUGGUGGUGGAAAGCUUUUGCGGUGUGGGAUGGGCCCGCGGCCUAUCAGCUUGUUGGUGGGGUGAUGGCCUACCAAGGCGACGACGGGUAGCCGGCCUGAGAGGGUGACCGGCCACACUGGGACUGCGAUACGGCCCAGACUCCUACGGGAGGCAGGAGUGGGGAAUAUUGCACAAUGGGCGCAAGCCUGAUGCGGCGACGCCGCGUGAGGGAUGACGGCCUUCGGGUUGUAAACCUCUUUCAGCACCGACGAAGCGCAAGUGACGGUAGGUGCAGAAGAAGGACCGGCCAACUACGUGCCAGCAGCCGCCGUAA